rnacentral:tRNA from 1 species
GGCGGAUUAGCCAACGAUAAGAACGC